GAGGAAUAUUGGGCAAUGCCCGCAAGGGUGACCCAGCAACGCCGCGUGGAGGAUGAAUGUCGUAAGAUUGUAAACUCCUGUUAGAGGGGAAGAAUAGUACCGGUUGGACCGGUAUAUGACUGUACCCUCAGAGAAAGCCCCGGCUAACUACGUGCCAGCAGCCGCGGUAAUACGUAGGGGGCAAGCGUUGUCCGGAUUUACUGGGUGUAAAGGGCGCGCAGGCGGGAUAAAAAGUCAGUGGUGAAAUCCUACAGCUUACAGGGGAGCAAACG
rnacentral:rRNA from 1 species